GACGAACGCUGGCGGCGCGCCUAACACAUGCAAGUCGAACGAGCGAGCGAUAGCUUGCUUUCUUGAGCGAGUGGCGAACGGGUGAGUAACGCGUGAGGAACCUGCCCCAAAGAGUGGGACAACAGUUGGAAACGACUGCUAAUACCGCAUAAGCUCACGACCCGGCAUCGGGGUGAGGGAAAAGGAGCAAUCCGCUUUGAGAUGGCCUCGCGUCCGAUUAGCUAGGUGGUGAGGUAACGGCCCACCAAGGCGACGAUCGGGAGCCGGACUGGGAGGCUGCACGGACACAAUUGGACUGAGGCACAGACCCGAAUCCUACGCGACGGAGCAGAGGGGAAUAUUGCACAAUGGGGGAAGCCCCGAUGCCGCGACGCCGGGUAGAGGAAGAAGGUCGUCGGAUUGUAAACUCGUGUUGUAGAGGGAGAUAAUGACGGUACUCAACAAGGAAGUAACGGCUAACUACGUG
rnacentral:rRNA from 1 species